CGUCCUGAGAACUAUUUUAUGUACCAUUCAUACUAGAGACCAAAGGAAUUUGUUGGCCAAGGAUCCAUCUUUUUACAACUGGUUUUGAGUACAUUGUAACUGAUAAAAAGUUUCGUUUCGCAUUCGCAACCAUAGAAAUAUAAUUUAAAUUUGUAACAAGUUUUAUUUGGCAAAUCCAUGUCCAAUUAAGUUCUUUGGUCUGUAGCAUUGUAGGAGAAGUACGAUAGCUAUAUAGAAAACAUAAACGAGAGAUUAUCAGGAGAUAAUUGUAGAUUAUCUGCGGCAUAAAAACUUUACAGUACUACCGUAAGUGUUUCGAUUGUUUUACUGAUUAUGUGAAUUUUCUGAACGUUUUCUUGAUUUUAUUUUCCUCUUUUAGAGUAUCGAUGAUGCGCGAGUCUACGACUAAAAGACUUCUAAACAUCUGCAUUUCGUAAAUUCGUUCGAGACAAAAGUAUUUUUUUCCUCAUGCUUCCAGGCGUGUACGAGCACAUUGAAAGGUAAAUAUUUCGAUUUGUUUCAAACAAUCGGAUUGAAAAAGUAAGCUCAGGAGAAAGCAACUGGGAACCCUCUGUAAUUAACGGUCGUACACGUCGAUCGAUUCGCAAAAGAACUUUCAUCUCGCGCGUGAAAAGAAACUUUUCGCAAAAUUUAUUUUUCUUACGUUUGAUAGAUCUUAUCGUCAGACGUGACGUUUAUCAUCAUCAUCAUCAUCGUUAUCAUUUUUAUUCUCCUUCCUCGUACGUUCUUCGAGUGAUUUUGAAGAGAAAUCGGCCUUUGGAUUGGUCAAAGGCAGUCGACGAUCAUCGACAACAGAACGAUUUUUUUACUGAACGAUUGCAAGAGCUGCCCUUUCAUCGAUUUCGAACGUCUUCUCCUUGCGUUCUCCUGUAUCUAACGUUUGUAAGACUAACGUAAGUCAAAGAAGCUCAAGCCUACGGAGAGGAUGUCGACACCGAUGACCACCACGGUCACUGUAGCCGAGGGGACCAGUAUUGCGCUGCCAUGUCUGGUGCUGGUUGACCCGGUACCGCGAUCGGCACGCUGACACCUGGUGAUAUCAGACCUGAAAGAGAAGUAAACCGCCUUGUUUAACUGAUAUAUCUUAUUGGAUAUCAGCAUCGAGAUUAAGAAUCUUUCAAGAUGAGACCUUUCAAAGCAUUUGAGUGUCUGAAGAAUAAAAAUACAGAAGAUGGUCAGUCAUGCGAAUUCGAGAUCAACUGGGACAUAAUUUUAUAACAUUUUUAACACUAAGCUAUCCAGAUAGGAAUGUUUACGUGCACGUGUAAUAUCACAUUAAUGAUUAACAGAAAUAUACACUGUAGGAUAUUAUCUAAAAAAAAAAAAAAAAAUGCCGUCACCUUGAAACCUACGGAUCUUUAGGAUAAAACUACUUACACCACGCUAUCACGAACUAUGCUUGGAAGGAAUAACUGAAUCGAUUCUCGAAGCAGCGAGUCCCUUUAAAUCCAACGACAACAAACACACCAUGUUAAACCGGUACAGGCUGAAGGGAAUGGAGUUUUGUAACGAUAAAAACACCUUGCGGUAACGCAGAAGCGAGUAUAAUCCAUUACCGGGAGAUUGGAUAG